rnacentral:rRNA from 1 species
CCUACGGGAGGCAGCAGUGAGGAAUAUUGGUCAAUGGGCGAGAGCCUGAACCAGCCAAGUCGCGUGAAGGAUGAAGGCUCUAUGGUUUGUAAACUUCUUUUAUAUGGGAAUAAAGUGAGGAACGUGUUCCUUUUUGUAUGUACCAUAUGAAUAAGCAUCGGCUAACUCCGUGCCAGCAGCCGGGGUAAAACGGGGGAUGCGAGCGUUAUCCGGAUUUAUUGGGUUUAAAGGGUGCGUAGGUGGUUUAUUAAGUCAGUGGGGAAAGUUUGGGGCUCAACCAUAAAAUUGCAGUUGAAACUGGUUGGCUUGAGUAUAGUUGAGGUAGGCGGAAUGCGUGGUGUAGCGGUGAAAUGCAUAGAUAUCACGCAGAACUCCGAUUGCGAAGGCAGCUUACUAAACUAUAACUGACACUGAGGCACGAAAGCGUGGGGAUCAAACAGGAUUAGAUACCCCAGUAGUC